rnacentral:rRNA from 1 species
UAAGCAUAUCAAUAAGCGGAGGAAAAGAAACCAACAAGGAUUGCCUCAGUAUCGGCGAGUGAAGCGGCAAAAGCUUAAAUUUGAAAUCUGGCACUAGCCCGAGUUGUAAUUUGUAGAGGAUGCACAUCUUCAGCAAGAGGCUUUGAGUCUAAGUUCCCUGGAACGGGAUAUCAUGGAGGGUGAGAAUCCCGUACAUGGUUCAUUGUCUCUUGCAUCAUGAAGCUCCUUCAACGAGUCGAGUUGUUUGGGAAUGCAGCUCAAAACAGGAGGUAAAUUCCUUCCAAAGCUAAAUAUUAGCCAGAGACCGAUAGCGAACAAGUAGAGUGAUCGAAAGAUGAAAAGCACUUUGGAAAGAGAGUUAAAAAGUAUGUGAAAUUGUUGAAAGGGAAGCGCUUGCAACCAGAUUUUUCACUGUAGGUUAGAUCAUCUAGGCUCUUUGGCCUAGUGUACUCUACCUAUAUUGUGUGCCAGCAUCGGUUUGUUAGUCGAGAGAAAAAGGUAGUGUGUUGUCAAUUCCUCCGGGUAUUUGGCAUGCAUUUACAGGUACAUCUUGAACCCAGACCGAGGACAGCGCUUUUGGCAUGGAUGCUGGUGUAAUGGUUGUAAGCGGCCCGUCUUGAAACACGGACCAAGGAGUCCAACAUCCAUGCGAGUGUUUGGAUAUCAAGUCCGUACGCGCAAUGAAAGUAAACGCAAGUGGGAACUCAUUUAUGUGUGCACCAUUGACCGAUCCUAAUCUUUUAGAAACGGAAUUGAGUAAGAGCAUGGCUGUUGGGACCCGAAAGAUGGUGAACUAUGCCCGCGUAGGCUGAAGUCAGGGGAAACCCUGAUGGAAGGUCGCAGCGGUUCUGACGUGCAAAUCGAUCGUCAAACGUGGGUAUAGGGGCGAAAGACCAAUCGAACCAUCUAGUAGCUGGUUCACGCCGAA